UACGUAGGGCGCAAGCGUUGUCCGGAAUCAUUGGGCGUAAAGAGCUCGUAGGUGGUCUGUUACGUCUGCUGUGAAAACCUAGGGCUUAACCCUGGGCCUGCAGUGGAUACGGGCAGACUAGAGGUAGGUAGGGGAGAAUGGGAUUCCCGGUGUAGCGGUGAAAUGCGCAGAUAUCGGGAGGAACACCGGUGGCGAAGGCGGUUCUCUGGGCCUUACCUGACACUGAGGAGCGAAAGCGUGGGGAGCGAACAGG
rnacentral:rRNA from 1 species